CAAUAGCGUAUAUUAAUGUUGUUGCAGUUAAAAAGCUCGUAGUUGGAUUUCGAAUGGGAGCGGUGGGUCGGGUCCGCAAGGGCUCGUUACCUGUUUCGUCUCCGGUUCUUUUUCGGGAUUUGUUUCUGGCGUGGCUGGCAUUGAGUUGUCGGUGGCGUCGGGCCCGUCGUUUACUGUGAACAAAUUAGAGUGUUCAAAGCAAGGUGUGUCUUGAAUACAUUAGCAUGGAAUAAUGAGAUAGGACUUUGGUGGUUUCGGUGAAGGCCGGAUAUUUUGUCGGUUUGCACGCCAAAGUAAUGAUUAAUAGGAGCAGUUGGGGGUAUUCGUAUUCAAUUGUCAGAGGUGAAAUUCUUGGAUUUCUAGAAGACGAACUACUGCGAAAGCAUUUACCAGGGAUGUUUUCAUUAA
rnacentral:rRNA from 1 species